rnacentral:rRNA from 1 species
GACGAACGCUGGCGGCGUGCUUAACACAUGCAAGUCGAGCGGUAAGGCCCUUUCGGGGGUACACGAGCGGCGAACGGGUGAGUAACACGUGGGUGACCUGCCUUUAGCUCUGGGAUAAGCCUGGGAAACUGGGUCUAAUACCGGAUAUGACUCCGCGGUGCAUGCUGUGGGGUGGAAAGCCUUGUGCGGCUGGAGAUGGGCCCGCGGCCUAUCAGCUUGUUGGUGGGGUGAUGGCCUACCAAGGCGACGACGGGUAGCCGGCCUGAGAGGGCGACCGGCCACACUGGGACUGAGACACGGCCCAGACUCCUACGGGAGGCAGCAGUGGGGAAUCUUGCGCAAUGGGCGAAAGCCUGACGCAGCGACGCCGCGUGAGGGAUGACGGCCUCGGUGUAA